AUUCUGAGAACAACAGCCCCUUAGGAAAAAAAUAAAUAAGGAAGGAGAGCAUGCCUUUGAAAAACAACAGCAAAGAAAAAAACCUUUCAACUAUAAAAUAAACUAAGGUACAAGAUGCAAUUAACAAUGCACAAACAGCAGAGCCUGGAAUGUAAAUUGUAUUUAAAUAGGGCUGUGAAGAAUGUUUCAGUCCCCUAAAUGGCUUCUCUCUCCUGCUGCCUUGAACCUCCAAUCAAGCCCUGCCUGGGAGUAAUUUGGUGCUGGAAAUUGUUGCCACACGAACAGCUGAAGGCUGGCAGGGUCACCGGCCCCCCGUGUCACACCCUGUCAUUUUAGAUUAAGAUAUGCAAAGGCGACACGGCUGCGAACUUUCCCUUUGCUGCCGUGGCUGUGUCCAUCCCCUCGGCUGUAAUGAGAGGAAGGCGUAAUUGGAGUCAACUGCUUGAUUAUGAUAAUUGCUACUGUCUGGGGGAAGAAACAUUUGAGUCCUGGAGCUUGAUCCGCGCUGCACCUUUGGGGUGAUUGCUGUCUGUUUGCCAGCAGAUGGGCCUGGCAGAAAGCAUCCUUUUUGGCCCCACUUUGGCCCCUUGACCUCAGCUUGACCACUUGUUGGCUCCACGAUUGCAGGCAGGGUCACGGGGUUUUUCUGGCUCUUCUCUGCUUCCCACCAGAGGAUUUGUCCUGAAGGAUUUAUCCCCUAAGAGGGAAAGGGCCUUUUGAAAAUUUAUCCCCAGCUCUUCGCGGCAACACAACUGGGAGAUGAGGAGCCGUAUAUUUUCCACCGGGAUAUUUAUCGCUUUUCAUUGUACGUCCCGGCAACAGUCGGUGGGAAAUACCUCCAGGAAGCUGGGCUGGUCAAUCUGUUCCACCCUGCCUGCCUUCAUCUGCUGAGAGCAGAGACGGUCCCGGAGGUCAGGGCACGGCGAUGGGGGCAAGGAGGCGGCUGCUCGAUUUUUGGAGCUUCCAGCAAACCCUAACGCGAUCUUCCCCGAGCUACUUCAUCCAUCUCUUUGCAUCCGUGCCCCUUUGAGAAGAGGAGAUGGCUCCUUCUCGGCACCAGUUUGUUUGUCAGGGCUGUUAAACGGUCCCGAGAUCCUGCGAUAUCGACGGGAGGAUCUCACAAUUAGGGUGUGAACCCAGGGGAAGCGCUGUGCUGCUCCCGGAUCCACCGCAGGCUCGGGCAAGUCUCUGAGGCUGGGAGCCUCGGAGCGAUUUGCAGUUUCAGUGGGAGUUAAACACUUAAAUAUCCCCGGGAAGCUUGGCCACAAGCUCCAUGUGCAGCGAUUUCCCCUCCACCGGUAACCCUGGCUGGCACUGGUGUGAGCACAGAGGCAUGUAAAAGCCCUGGGCCUGAGAUCACACAAAUAAAAUUAAGGUGGCGAGAGGCGAAUUGUUAAUUCAUGGCUAUUAUUUAUUAAUAUCAACCUUAGGUGCAAAGCUCAACUCUAGCUGUGAAGCAACGAGCGCAGCCUGAGCAACAAUAAUAAAUAACCAACAGAGUAAUUGGAUAAUUGUUUCCUUGGUAUCUUAAAAGUUUAACAAGAUUUUUUUAUUUAUUUUUUUUCAAAUGUUCACAUUCAAGAGCAUGGAGGGGAAAGCACGGCUUGCAAUAAAGGGUGAGAUGUAAAAAAAAAAUCGUUAUAAAUGGGAAAAAAACAGAGCCACAGGUGAUGCUGUGGGUUUUAAUUUCUCCUCCUAAGCAUGGGGUUUUGCCCUGCUGCUGGCCAGCUGUGAGGGGCCGGGGCUUUUGGAGCUUCUUGGCAGAGGCAGAUAGUUCUCUUGCUCGGGAAAUGCCAAAGGCAGCUGACAAAAAAACCUCUUCUCAUAUAAUUCCAACUUUAUUUUACCAAAUCCUGAGGGCUCCUUUGCUGCCAGCAGCUCCACCUCUUUCAUCCAGGAGCUGGUGACACCGCCGUCGCUGCUUUGAUGGCACUGCAGGUGUGGGUUUAGCAGCAGAACGUGGAAACGAAGCCCUGGGGACCGAGCAUCCUGCCAGACCCCGAGGCAAGGCUGCAAAACCCCCGGCUGUAUUUCACAGGGAGCUGCUAAGAAGCUGCUUUGUCCCUCAAGGAGCUUUUGGAGACCUUGCUGGAGGUUCCUUCUGCGGUGCCAGGGAGAGGAGCCCGUCCGUAGCAAGCUCCCGAUACCACUUUUGCCAUUUCGUUGUGGGCACGGGGACCACCAGCACCCUCUUGGUUGAGGACUGACCUUCGGGACCCCUCGCGUGUGCCGGGCAGCCGUGUCCCCUCGUGCUGCACAUCAUGCAAAUAAAGCUGUGACCUCCAGCAAGAGGCAGGUCACAGCACCGGGCACUCUGGAGCGUGGUGGCUGCGGUGGGAUGGAUGCAGAACUCAGUCAUUCCUCGCCGCCACCGCGGGGAAUGGCAAACUGAAAAACCUUACCUGGGUGUUAGUAAAAGAUCUGCUUUUCCUGAACUUUCUCUAUUUUUAAGUGCCGAACAUUUUAUUAUAUUUUUUUUAAUGCUGAACUUCCUCUAUUUUUAAGUAAUUUUCUCUAUAUUUAAGCGCUAAAGCAAACCGUGGGCUUCAGGCUGUUACGGCUCUUCUGUCUCUGAUCACAAGGCAAACGUAAAGAAGGUUUUCGUAAGCCUUUAGCACUCAGAAAAUAUUGCUGUGCUUCCCCCAUGUUCCAGGAGGAGUGAGGAGGACCCUGCCUGGUGGCACCAUCCUCUUCCUCAGCCCAGCUCAGCUCCAAGGCCGAGUCUCGUGGGGAUAGGAGCAGCAUCCCUUUGGGCAGCUGCUUUGGGAAGCCUGGUCCGGCAGCUCUGCCCUCAGCUGCAGGCUGAUUCUGAGGCAAAUGAGCUCUCAGCACCCAUUUCCCUUUGAGGAUGGAGGUGAAGAUGUGAAACACUUGAAGCUGGGUGAAUGCAAAUUGCCGCAUAAAAGCAGUUUUUCCGCUGCUGCCCUGGGGCAAGCGGGGAGAUGGGCUCUGUAUCACCGUCCACUUUCUUCCUCUGCACCUACUGCAAAGUCUAAGGGGAAUCGGGUGUUCUCCGUUAAUUAAAAUGCUCAGGAGGAGAGUUGAGCUUGCUGCUACCUGAGCUUCCCCAGCCGACUGCGAGGUGCUCGCCAGGGCCUCUUACUCCUGUCUGGGUGUUUUACCACUGCCAGUUCCUGCAGUUAAUAGGGAAGGGACAGGAGAUGAAGGCGGUGAUGGGGGAAAAUGUGUGAUGGGGGGAAUAUGGACAGAGCCUGGCUGUCCUGAGUCCCCAGCUGGGCUCUGUCCUCAGCCCAGCACGCUGUCCUGCCUCUCCCAGAGCCCAGGAGAGGAGCAGCAGUGCCUCCAUCUCCCCUGGCCUCCGAGCAUGCCUGGCACGAAGGGACCGGUGCCGGGGGUCAGAUGGCUUCUGAACAUCAGAUGAAGAAGCAGAGGGAUGCAUU